UGCCUUCGGGUAGACAGAGAGACAGGUGGUGCAUGGUUGUCGUCAGCUCGUGUCGUGAGAUGUUGGUUAAGUCCGCAACGAGCGCAACCCUUAUCUUUAGUUGCCAUCAGGUAAUGCUGGGCACUCUAGAGAGACUGCCGGUGACAAACCGGAGGAAGGGUGGGGAUGACGUACAAGUCACUCAUCGGCCCUUACGGCCUGGGCUACACACGCGCUACAAUGGUCGGUACAAAGGGUUGCCAAGCCGCGAGGUGGAGCUAAUCCCAUAAAACCGAUCGUAGUCCGGAUCGCAGUCUGCAACUCGACUGCGUGAAGUCGGAAUCGCUAGUAAUCGUGAAUCAGAAUGUCACGGUGAAUACGUUCCCGGGUCUU
rnacentral:rRNA from 1 species